ensembl:lncRNA
CAUGCAAAUGACAAAAAUGAUGCAAAAUUUGCUCAUAAAAUUAAAAAUAACCGACUUCCUGUUGGGUUUCGGAUAUUGCUCCAAGAGUCUUUUUUGUAGGUACUGAUGCUUUACAUAUGUGUGCCAAUUUUCGUGCAUGUACGUGAAACACAGCUCGAGGGCUGUUGAUUUUUUUACGAUAGGUGGCGCUGUCGAGCCAUUUUGCCACACCCUCUUCUGAAACCUAUAUCAGACGUAAAUUUUCACCAGGUCUGACGCGUGUGCAAAGUUUCAGGACUUUUCGAGCAUGUUUAGGCCCUCAAAAAUGCGAUUCAUUUUGGAGAAGAAGAAGAAGAAGAAGAAGAAAAAGAAGAAGAAGAAGAAUAAACAAAGCAGAUACAAUAGGGUCCUCACACCAUCGGUGCUCGGGCCCUAAUAAUAAUAAUAAUAAACAAAGCAG